UCAAAGAAAACUACUCAAAUUUUCAAUUCUCACUCCAUCUUUCUUCUGCUUUUUACUUCCCUCUUUCUGGUGAGUUUUCUUCUGAAUUUGCUUACUGAUUUCAACUUCUUCUAUUUGGGUUCCAUUGCAGAUUUGCAGUGUGCGAACCAAAUUCCGACUUCAAACAAAGAUUCCUAAAUUGUGUGCAGAUGGUUCAAGCAAUUGAAAGGUUUUCGGAUGCACAUUGAAUUUUUUUUCCACUUCAAGGGGAAGAAAGGAGAAAGGCCUUUAAUGGAGAAGCUAUUUGAUAGUGAUUUGUAGGUGACUCAUAUUUUAGAGGAAUCCUCGCCGGCAUCUCUUGCUCAAGGAUGGUAGAGGUGAUAACGGAAGAGCUUUUAUUAGGCAUUGGCAAUUUGGGUAUAUCAACCAAGAAAAAGAAGAAACAGAAAAGUCAAAAUAUUGACAAUGUGGAGUUGGACAUGUCGGAACAUGUAAAUAGGAAAAAGAAGUAUUGUUCCACCAGCACUAAUACACUACAAGGUGUUCUGCGCAUGUUUGUUCACUCUAAGGACUAUAUAUACAUCUAUAUUGUCAAGAAAGUGUAUGAAAACUCAACCAAGGGGGCAUCUUGCAACUGAAACACAGUAUAUAUAUCUGAAUGAGAUUGGGAUACAUUAUUUUAAAUGGGAGGCUAAAAACACAACAAUUGAAUUUCAUAGAUGUUUGGGCAACUGAUGCUCCUGAUAACUAAAACUUCUAAACCUCCCUCAGUUAAAUAUCACAAAUUCAAUUUUUUACACCCGAAAUUAGUUUUCUUGAGUGUUGGAUACUGCAUAGGUGAUUUUACCAGAUUGAGUUUCUCUUUGACAAUCAGAGAAAACUUAGUAUCGAGAUAGAUGUAGAAACAAACCAUUCAUUGUCAUAAAGACACAUGCACUAUGCAUUAUAACAUGUGUCUCCUUAUUUCAUUUGUACUGAUUCAUGUUUCCAGAACCUACACCCUGCACCAAAUCUUAGAUAGAUCAGUUUCCAAUAUCCACAUCAUUAGUUUGUUCUUCUCUGUGGGCUUCACUGGUCUAAUUGUUAAAUUUCUAGAUUUGAGUUUUAAGUUCUCUAUGGUUUGAGGCUUUGAGCUUUACUUUUUCCAGUUCAAGCUUGGUUCUGUUCAACUGUGUAGUUUCGCGCAGACAGAAUGAAAUUCAAAUAUGAGUAAGGGAUAUCCAUUAAUCCAUUCCGAGGGAAUAGUGAAUACAUUCUGAUUUCGUGGAGAAAAAAAGAAGGAUCAAAUACAUGAAGUUUAUGAACCAUGCAAUACAAUACCGAUGUUUACAGAUCACAAGGAAGGGCAGAAACAAGUACCAGCAGAGCAUCUGGUAAGGUGAUUUUCUCAUCAACUGUUGCAGCUCUGUCUUCAUCUAUUCCAGGGUAAUGUGAGGGAUCGCUUACACUGGUAUAUUAAACAACUGAAGUAGAGGUAAUAAACAACUGAAGUAGAGGUAAUACUCUGUUUCCUAUAUUUUCAUUAUUGUUGCCCCUGUUGAAAUGAAGAGGAUUAUAUGUUUCUCUUUUACAUUGAAUAAAAUAAGAAAGUAUCUAUUGACUUUAGGCUUUAGGUUGUUUAGACAUCAUUAAUUAGUUGCUCAUUAAUUAGUUGCUUUAUUAUUUUACUACCUUGCAUGAUGAAGCAAUUGUAAGGCCCCGUAAAAAAAAUUGUGCUCAAAACCUAGUAGCUUGUAGUGUCAGGUUCCGAAUAUGUG